UGCACAGCUGAACGAUCCAGGUAAUGUGGCAUUUGGAGUCUUUGGAGGAGCGGGAGAACGAGGACGAGGAGACCAUAUAUUUCCAUGUAACUACCUGAUAGCAAUCGAUGUCGCCAACGACUUAUUCUUACGCAUUCGUAUGGCACGCACUGCAUAAGCAGUAAAACUUGAGACAGUUGAUGGCGUAUCCAACAUUUGGCAUUUGGGUGAUGUAGGAAGCCCAAUAUCAGGGGCUACUAUGACGGAGGCAGUGCUUUCAAUCAUGACUUGCUAGUCUUUGGUAUGGUGAAUCGAGACAGCGAAUAUAUUAUACAGCGUCUGUUGGCACCUGGAAAUAUGUGGUGCACCUUACGCUCAAUCGCUGGAAAGCAGCGGAGUCGAG
rnacentral:sRNA from 1 species